UUAUCACAAAAGGAGUCCUCUCACCCUAUAGAGAUGAUCCUAAAAUGUGAGAUGCAAGUUAAGCCUUAUUAUAUAAUAAGUGCAAUAUGUGGGCUUCAGUUUAAUUGGUUUACCCCUUCCCACAUAUUGUCUACAUCAUAUGAUGAGAGCAUCAAAGUUUGGUCAGAGUUCUACCUCAACUAACGUGGCAGUGGUUUUUUCAUGCAUGUCCCAAGCACUUUUAUUUUCUAAUCCAUUUAUUCCAUACCCUUGGUUCCAUGGCCCAACUAAAUACUUCCUUCAAAAUGGAACAUUUAUGUACCACAAUAAAAACACCAAAAGGAACAUUUAUGUACCACAUUUAAAACACCAAACUUCAGCGCUACUAAACAAAAGAAGCCAGAUCAAAACUAUUGGAUGAUGAGUUUGCAUCCAAACAAGUUUGUGUGUGUAGUUGUUAACACAGAAAAAAUGGUUCUGUUAUGCGUUCCUUAUUAGAAACUCAAAGGGUCAAGUUUAUAGACUUAGCAGUACAACUGACUACCUAAAAAAUAGGAAACUACCUCACACACUAACAGCAUAUCUUAAGUGUGUGCAAGACUUAGCAAUACAACUUACUACCUAGAAAAUAGGAAACUACCUCACACACUAACAGCAUAUCCUAAGUGUGAGAGAAAGUAGGAAUUGAAAGCAACAAACAAUUAAUUAAAAACAAACAAUAGAAAUAAUUCUAAAAAUCAAAUUGACUUAUUCAACAAUUCCUCCCUUAAACUGUAUGCUCCUUGCAACAGUUUAUCUCAGACUCAUCAAGCAUUCCUAGAGCACUCAACAUAUGUUGGAAUUCUUCAACUUUAAGUGGCUUUGUCAUGAUGUGUGCUAACUGAUCUCUUGUAUUGCAAUAAUUCAGCUCAAUAACACCAUCAUUACAUAAAUUUCUCAAAAAAUGAAAUCGAACAUCAAUAUGUUUACUUCUUCCAUGCAAAACUGGAUUUUUGGAUAAUUUAAUUGUUGAGACAUUAUCACAAAACACCACAGUAGCUCCUUCUUGACAAUGACUUAGAUGUUCCAAAAUUCUUCUCAACUAAACACAUUGACAAACACAUAACGCGGCUGCUAUAAACUCUGCUUCUGUUGUGGAUAAGCUAACAACCGACUGCUUCUUCGACACCCAAGAAAUAACACCUCCUCCCAGCAAGAAAGCAUAGCCCGAAGUGCUCUUCCUGUCAUCAAGGUCUCCUGCAUAAUCACUGUCGGUAUAAGCAAUUAAUUCUUCAUUUCCUCCAGCCUUAUAGAAAAUUCCCAGAUUUUCUUCUUGAUUGGAUCAUAAAGUUUGUAGGCCUUAGACUCCUCACUUACACCAAACAACACACAUUUGAUACUUUUAUCAUCAAGUUUGCUCCUUUUCUGAUCAGGUACAUGAACGUAUCCAAUGCUGCCAAAGAUUCUAAAAUAUGAAACAGACGGCUUAAUUCCGCUCCAUGCUUCCUCUGGUGUGACGUUCUUGACAGCAAGAGUCGGGCUUCUGUUUAAAAUAUGAAUCACCCAUUUUACAGCUUCUGGCCAAAAAGAUCUUGGAACUCCCUUUUCCACCAAAACACUGCGAACCAUAUUUAUAAUCGUUUGAUUUUUUCUCUCAGCCACGCCAUUUUGUUGUGGCGUGUAUGAAGCAGUGAGUUGCCUUUCAAUACCAUGUUUACUGCAAAAUUCAGCAAACUCUUUAGAAAGAUACUCUCCCCCUCUAUCGGUACGUAAUAUUUGAAUGGGAGCGCCAACUUGUUUUUCAACUAAUGCUUUAAACUCUUUAAAUGCACCAAAAGUUUCACUUUUCUCCGUAAGAAAAUAUACCCAUACUUUCCUACUUAAAUCAUCAAUGAAAGUGAGUAUGUACCUUUUAUUUCCAUUGGAUGUAGGAUUGAUAGGACCACAAAUAUCUGAGUGAAUUAACUGCAACAACUGAGAUGCCCGCCAAUUACUUUGUCGUGGAAAAGGGUCUCGUUGAUGAUUCCCUUUGAGGCAAUGUUCACAAAGUUGAGAUGUUGGUUUAAAGGAGGGCAACCCUUUCACCAUGUCAUGCUCCAUUAAAGUUUUCAGUCCACUGUAGCUCAAGUGACCAUAACGAGAGUGCCAUACUUGAGCUGGUGGCACAGAACUAACCUGAAAGCAGGAUUGGGAGACUCCGGAUUUUACAUGAAUAGCAAACAUACGAUUAGUAGUCAUGUAGGUUUCAAAAAUAAGGCCAUUUUCUUUAAACACUCUACAUUUGUUUUGCUUCAUUUCAACUGUUAACCCUCUUUCCAGAAGUUGCCCCACACUAAAUAAAUUAUUUUUCAGCUCAGGCACAUAAAAUACAUCAUUUAGAAAAUGCACAACUCCGUUUAUCAAAAGUUUAACCAUACCUUUUCCACAGACCUUUAGAGCAUAAUUAUUCCCUAAUUUCACUUCAUCUGAAAAACUUUCAUCAAUGGAGGAGAACCAAUCCUUUCUUCCUGUCAUGUGGUUGCUGCAGCCUGAAUCGAUGAACCACAUGUCUUGUGUGUUUGAUUUUCCCUCUGAUGAAAGUUGUGCCAUGAGUAACACUGCUUCCUCAUUGGUCUCAACAUAAUUUGCAAUGCUGUCCUGUGGUUUCUUUGGGCAUUCAUAUUGAAAAUGUCCAAACUCAUGACAGUAAUAACAUUCCACUGCUGCCUUGUCUACUCGUUGUCUGCCUCCUCUGCCUCUUCCUCGAGCAAAUCCACUCCGAAAGUCACCUCUUCCACGGCCACGACUAGUAUUUGUCUCAUCUCGAGUUACUUUCAACACUUGCUCUUCAUAUGAAUUGUGCCCAUUCAUUCGUUGUUCGUGUACCAACAAACUACUUUGGAGUUCAUCUACAGUCAUGGAAUCCAAAACAUGAGAUUCUUCGAUAGCACACACUACAUAAUCAUACCUGGAGGUCAUUGAGCGAAGAAUCUUUUCGACAACAGUAAGAUCCGACAUUUGUUCACCGUACAUUCGCAUCUUAUUUGCAAUAGUGAGAGUUCGAGCAAAAUAGUCAUUAACUGAUUCUCCAUUCUUCAUCUGCAAAAUCUCCCACUCACGUCGUAGGGCUUGAAGCUGUGCUCGCUUCACUCUAGCAGUGCCUUGGUAUUUCUGUUUUAAGGAAUCCUAGAUCUCUUUUGAUGUCUCCUUCUUUAAAAUUGUUUCAAGCACAGAUCGAUCGAUUGCUUGAAAGAGGUAAUUCUUUACCUUCAAAUCUUUUAGCUUAAGCUCGUUCACCGUUUUUUUCUCGUUCUCCGUUAAUACAGUACCAUCAGCAUGUUGAGGAAUCCCUGGAUCUAUAAGAUUCCAAUACUCCUUUGACCUUAAAAAAUUCUCCAUGAGCAUUACCCAAUGAUCAUAAUGCUCACUCAAUUUUGGAAUUGCAGGUUGCACGAAGUUGCCAUCCGUGGUUGUAGCCAUGAUUGAAGUCUGCUGCUUCUCUUUACUUGCUAUACACCUAGCUCUGAUGCCAGAUGUUAACACAGAAAAAAUGGUUCUGUUCUGCGUUGCUUAUUUGAAACUCAAAGGGCCAAGUUUAUAGACUUAGCAGUACAACUGACUACCUAAAAAAUAGGAAACUACCUCACACACUAACAUCAAUACAACUUACUACCUAGAAAAUAGGAAACUACCUCACACACUAACAACAUAUCCUAAGUGUGAGAGAAAAUAGGAAUUGAAAGCAACAAACAAUUAAUUAAAAACAAACAAUAGAAAUAAUUCUAAAAACCAAAUUGACUUAUUCAACAAGUAUGUAAAAAUUCAGAAGUCUUCCCAUUGGUUUACAGAAUUUUGUCAUGUAUGAGACCUAUUUAAAAUAAAUCUGUAGAGAAAACUGAUAAAACUGAUGGUUUGGCACUGGGGCCAUUAGAGUCGGCAACUAAGUCACUCAAGAAGGCGGUGAAUGUAAUAUAUGAUGUCUGUUUUAAUCUUUUCACCAGAAAAAUCCCUCAAGAGUUUCUAUGUGUGGAGAUACAUGCUCAAACAGGAAAACCAUGGAAGGUGGUGUGAUUUUAGUUGUUGAAGUGAGUCCAAGUAGUGUGACAAGCCAAGGGGAUCACCAGGUCAUGAGAAGAUAAUGUCAUUGCAUUACUCAAUGUUGAUCAGGCAAUGGGACCCAGGAGAACUCAAUUUUCCCAUGGCUGCUACAACUUGUGACUACUGCUGGAGUGGUUUACCCUUUUUAUAUGGGUUGCUCAACUUUGUAUUUGACAGAUGCAAGUGUUUGUGCCGAGGAAAGAUUUGGCAGCAAGGGAUGGAUAUCUCAGCCUUGGGGUCAAGGCUGUUUUUCAAGGGGCGGGGUAUUGUUACGUACUUGGUUUGGGCCUAAGCCCACCAAAUGUGUCAAAUAGAGGAAUGAGUUAUAUUUGUUGAUGUGGCUAGUUGGUUUGAGGGGAAUGAUAGUUAUAUAAAGGAUAGGGAUAGCAAGAGAGAAGGCUUGAGAAUUAUUCCGUUAGGAACCGUAUUGGUUUGGGCAGAGAGAGAAUUGUUUCUUCUCUGAGAAGCUUAUCUCUUGGGUAGUUUGGAAUACUUUUCCUUCUACAAUUUUAUUUUCUUUGAUAAUCAAAUAUUUUCCAUUGUU
rnacentral:lncRNA from 1 species